rnacentral:rRNA from 1 species
AUACGUAGGUGACAAGCGUUAUCCGGAUUUACUGGGCGUAAAGGGCGUGUAGGCGGUCUUGCAAGUCAGAAGUGAAAUUCCUGAGCUCAACUCGGGCGCUGCUUCUGAAACUGCAGGACUUGAGUGCUGGAGGGGAUAGCGGAAUUCCUAGUGGAGCGGUAAAAUGCGCAGAUAUUAGGAAGAACACCGGUGGCGAAGGCGGCUAUCUGGACAGUAACGGACGCGGAGGCGCGAAAGCGUGGGGAGCAAACAGGAUUAGAUACCCUGGUAGUCCACGCUGUAAACGAUGAAUACUAGGUGUAGGGGGUAUCGACUCCCCCUGUGCCGCAGCUAACGCAUUAAGUAUUCCACCUGAGUAGUACGGUCGCAAGACUGAAACUCAAAUGAAUUGACGGGG